rnacentral:lncRNA from 1 species
AUUAUCACCAUUCCUCAAGUUUCUAGAACAAUUUUACUCUUCUCCUUAAUAUAAUUUUUUGUCCAGAAAAGGGAAAGACUAAACUCAUGGAUAGUUAUCCAAAGGAGAGAAGAGAAAAUUGUUUGUGGUAAAUGAAAGAUGCUGCCUACAGUAGCACAAAUAAUCCCAUUCAUGGCUACCAGCUUGCUACGCAUUGCUUACUUAUGCUGCAGGCAACUAUUGUUGAAAUGACAGGAGGACAGGAAGGCAUGAGAAAGGGGCAGACAGCUACUGAUGAAAGAGUCAUCAACUACUGUAGAUACUUCUUGGAGAUUGGAAGUUGAAUUUUACAUUUCUUUAUAUCCCCAGGUUUAAUAAAAAAAUUGCUUGUAGGUGUUCAAUAAACAUUUGAUGAAUGAAUGGGGAACAGUUCAGUUAUUUUCCUUGAAUCCUAGGCAGGAUGAUUUGAUACACUUUGGAUUCUUGAGGUUUUAUGAAAUUUUAAAUGCAAGGCAAACUACUAUUUACCCAAUUGAAGUCCAAAUGUAAGCAUUUUAUGGUAAACCAGGAGAAAGUAGAAGGCAAAAAUGCAUUAGCUUAAAACCUAGGACACCAAAAUGAAGAUCAAAUGUAUGCAUGAAAGUGUGUUAAAGAAAAUCAUUGCCCUGCCCUGCAGAUGCUAUCCUGGACUUGCCAGCCCCAUAGACACAGUUGCUGUGCUGUGCCUGUACUAUUGGAGCAAAGAAAAAGUGGCUAUUUCUAUGCUCAGUGUUCACAAACCAGUGAGCACUAAGAAUGGUUUAUAGCCUGACAUUUCUUAGAAAAGAAGAAGAAGAAAACUGUUGCAUAGUAUCAGCUAAAUUUGGACAUAAAUGUUUCCUAUGAUUCAGUAAUUCUUUUUUUUCUUUUUCUUUUUUUUUUUUUUUUUGAGGCACCAUCUCGGCUCACUGCAACCUCCACCUCCUGGGUUCAAGCACUUCUCCUUCCUCAGCCUCCUGAGUAGCUGAGAUUACAGGCAUCUGUCAUCACACCUGGCUGAUUUUUGUAUUUCUUUUAGAUACGGGGUUUUACCAUGUUGGCCCAGCUGGUCUCAAACUCCUGACCUCAUGAUCCACCCGCCUCAGCUUCCCAAAGUGCUGGGAUUACAGGCGUGAGCCACUGUGCUUGACCUGAUUCAGCAAUUCUACUCUUAGAUAUUUAUUCAAUAAAAAUGUGCACACAGGUGCAACAAAAGAAAUGCACAACAGCCAAAAUUGAAAAUAACCCAAACAUUCAAAUUUGUGUUAUAUUCAUGCAAUGGAAUAUACUAUACAGUAAUGAAAGUGAUAAAACCACAGCUACAUGCAAUAACAUGAAUGUGUCUAACAAGCAUAUAUGCUGAAUACAGAAGUCAGACAAAGGAAUGCACAUUAUACGAUCCCAUCUACACGAAGUUGUAAAACAGGCAAAACUAAUAGAGUCAGAAUAGUGGUUACCUUUGAGAAGGAGAGUGGGGUAAUGUUGAA